rnacentral:misc_RNA from 1 species
AAGUCGUAACAAGGUUUCCGUAGGUGAACCUGCGGAAGGAUCAUUAACACGUAUCCACGUAUCAACACUCUGUGAACUUAAUCUCCCUGACAUUAGAAAAGUUGUUAGCAUAGCUAGUGAUGGGUGUAUAGCGUAAAAAACUAUAUGCAGCUGUGAGAACUAGGGUUUCGAACCCGGCGCUUUCUUUUGUUGGGCCAACAUUUCUAUCACUACAAACACACCAUUUUAACCUUUAACUCAUCUUGACUGAUGUACUUAUGUAAGAGAAAUCUGGCAUGAGUCUUUAUCUAAACUAAGCACAACUCUUAGCAAUGGAUAUCUUGGUUCUCACAAAGAUGAAGAACGCAGC